rnacentral:lncRNA from 1 species
CUGGUCCUCUCUGUAAUCUGUAGGAUGCCUACAAAAAUAUGGCUUUGUGGCAUGUAGGGAUAUUGCUGAGGAAUAUGAAUAUGUUUCUCUCAACACCAGAAGAGAAAGAUACAGAAGAAAAAGAGAUAAAGAUGGUGCUUUCCUCAGAUGAAGGUUCUGUGUUCUCCAGUUGUAGACAAAAAGGACACCAUGCCAAACUUUAUUUUCACCAAAGUGUUAGUGAGGCAGAUUCUGUGUUAUGAAGAUCUACUGCAGUCCUGUGAGUCUUUCAUGCAGGAGGUGGAACCAGCAGAGGGAGAGAAGACUAGCCAAGCAAACAGUGCUGCGAUCUCUUGGACUAAGGCACAGCAGGUGAGCUGCUGCUACAGCUGUCUCUGCUGUGUUUUUUCUGUGUAUGACAGAAGGAUUUUAAUUCAACAGGCUUUUGAUAGAAAGCACUUCACAAAGCUCUGCCUUACAUACUGCAGUGAGAAUUAUUAUCUUUUGUUUUACCAGCUAAUGUGGUCUGCAACUGGGCAAGUUCCACAUAAACAGGCAGUGCAGAGCACACAGCAUCAGUCAGGAUUUAAAACCAAGCUCUGUUUAAUCUCUCAAGUGUAGGAGUCUGCUUUUGCUAAUAAAAAAUGCAGCACUCAAUUUCUUGAAAGACUU